CGUGGAUACCGACGAUAUGCUUCGGGGAGCUGGAAACAAGCUUUGAUCCGGAGGUUUCCGAAUGGGGCAACCCAGUAACUCUAACGCCAAUCCAUAACGUUAGAGAGCCAACCCGGCGAACUGAAACAUCUUAGUAGCCGGAGGAAAAGAAAGAAAACUCGAUUCCCCGAGUAGCGGCGAGCGAAACGGGAACAGCCUAAACCAACGAGCUUGCUUGUUGGGGUUGUGGGACAGCAACAUGGAAUUGAGCGGCUAGACGAAGUAGUGGAAUGCUACACCAGAGAAGGUGAAAGUCCUGUAGUCAAAAGCUUAACAAUCCUAGCUGUAUCCCGAGUAGUCCGGAGCACGUGAAAUUCCGGAUGAAUCUGCGAGGACCACCUCGUAAGGCUAAAUACUCCUGUGUGACCGAUAGCGCAUAGUACCGCGAGGGAAAGGUGAAAAGAACCCCGGAAGGGGAGUGAAAUAGAACAUGAAACCGUAGGCUUACAAGCAGUCGAAGCUCGAUUUAACGAGUAACGGCGUGCCUGUUGAAGAAUGAGCCGGCGACUUAUAGGUACUGGCAGGUUAAGACGAAAAUGUCGAAGCCAUAGCGAAAGCGAGUCUGAUAAGGGCGUUCGUCAGUAUUUAUAGACCCGAACCCGGGUGAUCUAACCAUGGCCAGAAUGAAGCUUGGGUAACACCAAGUGGAGGUUCGCACCGACCGAUGUUGAAAAAUCGGCGGAUGAGCUGUGGUUAGGGGUGAAAUGCCAAUCGAACCCGGAGCUAGCUGGUUCUCCCCGAAAUAUGUUGAGGCAUAGCGGUUGUGACUAUAGCAGGGGGGUAAAGCACUGAUUCGGUGCGGGCUGCGAGAGCGGUACCAAAUCGAGUCAAACUCUGAAUACCCUGUGUACACACAGCCAGUCAGACGGUGGGGGAUAAGCUUCAUCGUCGAAAGGGAAACAGCCCAGACCACCAGCUAAGGUCCCUAAAUUGUCACUAAGUGGUAAAGGAGGUGGGGAUGCAUAGACAACCAGGAGGUUUGCCUAGAAGCAGCCAUCCUUAAAAGAGUGCGUAAUAGCUCACUGGUCAAGCGUUCCUGCGCCGAAAAUGAAUGGGACUAAGUGACGUACCGAAGCUGUGGACUUACUACGUAAGUGGUAGGGGAGCGUUCUGCAUUAGUUUGAAGCACUAGCGUGAGCAGGUGUGGACGAAGCAGAAGUGAGAAUGUCGGCUUGAGUAGCGAAAACAUUGGUGAGAAUCCAAUGCCCCGAAACCCCAAGGGUUCCUCCGGAAGGCUCGUCCGCGGAGGGUUAGUCGGGACCUAAGGCGAGGCCGAAAGGCGUAGUCGAUGGACAACUGGUCAAUAUUCCAGUACUCAUCUUGGUUUGUGCAGAGGGACGGAGAAGGCUAAAUCAGCCGGAUGUUGGUUACCGGUUCAACUGUCCGAGGUGUUGAGGAGCGGUGAAAACGCUCUGAGCUGAGGCAGGAGUACGACCCACUACGGUGGGGAAGUGAUUGAUGUCAUGCUUCCAAGAAAAGCUCUAAACACGCUAAGCCAAGAUACCCGUACCCGAAACCGACACAGGUGGGGGGGUAGAGUAUACCAAGGGGCGCGAGAUAACUCUCUCUAAGGAACUCGGCAAAAUGGCCCCGUAACUUCGGGAGAAGGGGUGCCACCGAGAGGUGGCCGCAGUGAAGAGAUCCAGGCGACUGUUUACCAAAAACACAGGUCUCCGCUAAGUCGUAAGACGAUGUAUGGGGGCUGACGCCUGCCCAGUGCCGGAAGGUUAAGGAAGCUGGUUAGCGUAAGCGAAGCUAGCGACUGAAGCCCCGGUGAACGGCGGCCGUAACUAUAACGGUCCUAAGGUAGCGAAAUUCCUUGUCGGGUAAGUUCCGACCCGCACGAAAGGCGUAACGAUCUGGAUGCUGUCUCGGAGAGAGGCUCGGCGAAAUAGAAGUGUCUGUGAAGAUGCGGACUACCUGCACCCGGACAGAAAGACCCUAUGAAGCUUUACUGUAGCUUGGAAUUGGGUUCGGGCUUUGCUUGCGCAGGAUAGGUGGGAGACGUUGAAGUAUUCCUUGCGGGGAAUAUGGAGUCAUCGGUGAGAUACCACUCUGGCAAGGCUAGAAUUCUAACUCUCUGCCGUUAUCCGGCGAGGGAACAGUUUCAGGUGGGCAGUUUGACUGGGGCGGUCGCCUCCUAAACGAUAACGGAGGCGCGCAAAGGUUCCCUCAGGCUGGUCGGAAAUCAGCCGUAGAGUGUAAAGGCAUAAGGGAGCUUGACUGCAAGACCUACAAGUCGAGCAGAGACGAAAGUCGGCCUUAGUGAUCCGACGGUUCCGCGUGGAAGGGCCGUCGCUCAACGGAUAAAAGUUACUCUAGGGAUAACAGGCUGAUCUCCCCCAAGAGUUCACAUCGACGGGGAGGUUUGGCACCUCGAUGUCGGCUCAUCGCAACCUGGGGCGGUAGUACGUCCCAAGGGUUGGGCUGUUCGCCCAUUAAAGCGGUACGUGAGCUGGGUUCAGAACGUCGUGAGACAGUUCGGUCCAUAUCCGGUGCAGGCGUAGGAGCAUUGAGAGGAGUCCUCCUUAGUACGAGAGGACCGGGAGGAACGCACCUCUGGUGUACCUGUUAUCGUGCCAACGGUAAACGCAGGGUAGCCAUGUGCGGAGAGGAUAACC
rnacentral:rRNA from 2 species